UAUAUACUCCUUCCGUUCGGUAAUACUUAUCGUAGUAAUGGAUGUAUCUAGAUGUAUUUUAGUUACAGAUACAUUCAUUUGUAUCCUUUUUUGUGACAAGUAAUUCCGGACGGACGGACGGAGUAUAUU
rnacentral:pre_miRNA from 2 species